ensembl:miRNA gga-mir-1813-1 gga-mir-1813-1
UUCCCAAGGAGUUUCUCAUUGCAUGUUAACAGCAAGAUUUGGUUUGUCUCUUCUGUGGCUGCAAGGAGAGAUUCCCAGAUGUGGAA